rnacentral:rRNA from 1 species
CCUACGGGAGGCUGCAGUGAGGAAUAUUGGUCAAUGGACGCGAGUCUGAACCAGCCAAGUAGCGUGAAGGAUGACUGCCCUAUGGGUUGUAAACUUCUUUUAUUUGGGAAUAAAAUGAUCCACGUGUGGCUUUUUGUAUGUACCAUAUGAAUAAGGAUCGGCUAACUCCGUGCCAGCAGCCGCGGUAAUACGGGGAAUCCGAGCGUUAUCCGGAUUUAUUGGGUUUAAAGGGGGCGUAGAGGGACUGUUAAGUCAGCGGUAAAAGUCUGGGGCUAAACCCCGACCAGCCGUUGAAACUGGCUGUCUUGAGAUGUCGAGAGGUAUGCGGAAUGCGCAGUGUAGCGGUGAAAUGCUUAGAUAUUGCGCAGAACUCCGAUUGCGAAGGCAGCAUACCGGCGGCGAUCUGACGCUGAGGCACGAAAGCGUGGGUAUCGAACAGGAUUAGAUACCCCAGUAGUC